AGUUGACUCCGGGGUUCGUAUAGGCAGGGAGCACAGGCGUAAGGCUGAGAUCGGCUUCCCUAGAGCCUUUCAAACUGGAUGGACCUGCACUUGUUGCUUAAAUGUCUUGAGGCCUGUGUUUCCACAUCUGGGAAAUGGGGAAAUUGUGGUGUUUGCUGUGAAGCUUCCUCAUUGGCUGAUGAACUCAUCUGGUGUUCCUAAGACCAACACCUUCAGUCCCAUUUCACAAAGUCCAAAUCACAAAGGAGGAAACUAUUUAUUUGAUGAAUGCUGUAUUGAAGGAGGCUCUUCUUCCCUUUAUACCUCACGAUGGUCCAAAGAAGACCAGAUACAGAAGAAAAAGAUUCAAGGAGAAGGCCUCUGUAAGACACAGUCAAAGUGCUAUUUAAGAGUAAGGAGAUCAGCUGAAUACGUGAGUCUGUCUGUUAUUAACAAUAAGCAUCUGUGGUGUCCCUGCCGGACUGAAAUUUAGAGUUUAUGCUGGAAAUGUCUGCUCAGUUCUGUUAUUCAUGAAGACACACUGGCCAGAGGACCUGGUGACACAACAUGUCACCCUUCCCCUUUCAAGCGGAUAAGCCCGUAAUCAAAUGCUCCAUACCAUCUGUUUGAGAGUUUUUUGAGACUGGGAUCACUGUCUGGAACCACAGGCCGCCCUCUGAAGGCUGGAGAGGUGGUGACAGCUGAACAAAUGAUGGCGCUACGAGUCCAUGGGUUAGGUUACCUGGGCAUGGGAAUCCCCAUAUAGCCAAUGCCUUCUCGGGUAUUAAGUGUCAGAUAAACACAGCUCCUCAACUGCUA
rnacentral:lncRNA from 1 species